rnacentral:lncRNA from 7 species
UUGGAAGUGCUGUGCACUGUGCUCAAGGAGGAAGACCUCUGCGGGAUACCCACAGCAGAGUUGGACCUCGUUCGCCUGACUGUGCCAGAGAUUCUUGCGUCCAUCCAUAGAAACCUGAAAAGCCCACCUACAUUACAUCAGCCGACCUUCUUGUCACUGCUGGAUAUGCUGGCCUGCCAGUUCCCUAGAAAUGUGCUGACGUGCGUGUUGACCCACCUUCCACAGAAUGACAGGUACCAGCCUGGAAGAGUAUGCUUUCAUCCACACGGUCAUCAGAGAGGGUCUUAGAAAUGCUAUUCCUUGUCUUCAAGAUGGGCACUCUGUGCGGGAUACCCACAGCAGAGUUGGACCUCCUUCACCUGACUGUCCAGAGAUUCUUGGGUCCAUCCAUAGAAACUUGAAAAGAAGCCGUGCAUCACUUCAGGAGACACUCUUCUCAUUGCUGGAUAUGCUGACCAGACACUUUCCCAGAGAUGUGCUGAUGAGUGUGUUGACCCACCUUCCACAGUGUGACAGGUACCAGCCCAUCUGGGAGAGCCUGCUUGCCCCAGCAGCGACUUCAGAGAGGGUCUUGGAAGAGCUGUGCAGUGUUCUUCAGGACCAACAGCUGUGCAUGACCUUUAACUUCACCACCGUGGAUUUUGGCCUUCUUCGUCUGACUGUGAUGCGCCCCACUGAAGAGAUCCUGCAGGAGUUAUGUAACCCAGACCUCUUCCAGAUGUUCCUGAAGAUUAAAAGCUUGCCACUACUAUGGCUGGUGCUCAGAGGCCUUGUCCUCCUGUCAGAGAGACCUGAGACGGCAAGAGAAAUACGGGCCCUGCUGCCAGACAUCAUGGAGACCCUGCAGUUUGGCAACGUGCACGUCACUCUUAACGCACUGAAUAUCUUCAGAAACAUGAUGAAUCAUCUGGGGAAGAUGGUGCUGCGUCCCAUUACUCUGGAGCUGGCCGACAAGCUCCUGCAUCUUUUUAAUCACGUGUCAGGUGAAGUACGAGAGUCUUCCAUCCUCCUCUUCCAAGAUGUGAUGGAGGCUGUGGUGUGGUGGCAAAAGGGAAAAAUGCGGAAGAAUGUACGCCGGGGCCUGCUCCCUCUGCUCUUUCGGAACAGUGAUGAGACCUCAAGUGUUGCAGAGCGGCAGGGGAAACCCUUCUUGCUUGUGCAAAGUUCCUGAACUGGCAGGAGCUCAAGCACCAGGCCGAGAAGAGGAAUAUGGUGGGGAUCAGGGAGUGCUUGCUACAGCAGGACAGGAAGAGGGUGGAUAAAUACCUGCAGCAGAGCCUGCUCUACCUGAGGGAUUCUCAGGCUGCUAUGCGACAAGAGGCUCUCUCGUACCUAGGGCUGGCGUGGGUCUACUGGGACCAAAGUGAGGAAAUGCGGAAGAAAAUCUACAGUGUCCUCCAUCCUUUGGAACAUGACAGCCAUCCGACGAUCCGUUCUCUGGCAACUUCCACAAUCCUGAUGCUGAGAUAUUCACGUCAGCAGGCAAAAUCAGGAGGGGGCAGGCUGGUAGAACUGCGUUGCUGGCCCUGCAAUCCCUCUUUCGUCAUAAGUAUGAUUGAUUAUGCCACUGAUUCUAUGAAGUUUUUUAUUGUUCUAUGAUUAAAUUCU